ACAGGAAUUCUAUGAGUCUCUGGAUCGUCUUUGCCCUAAACUGGUUGAAAUCAUCAGGUCAAAGAGAGGUCUAAAGGGACAACUUCUGGAUGGUCUGUUGCGCCAAACAAAGACAUCGGACACUGCUGACAUCAGAUGCCUUGUCCUGAGAGGGCUUCCAAUACUCUUUGAUGACAACUCAGCUGAUUUCUUCAAGACUUGCUUUGUCACUGAUGACGAGGACGUAUACAAACACAUUGGAAUAGGAAUCCUCUGCUUCACUGAGGAAGAUGUUGCACCACAUCCUCUGACUCCAUCUUCUGUAGGAAUCGUCUUGGAGGGGACUCUUGUGAUGGACAAUCUGGACAUUCCAAAUGCCAUGUGCCUUCUGUUUGGCCUGACCUAUGCACUCCACUUAAAUUAUCCUAAGUGCAUGACCAACACAUUCCGUUUCAUUCAACAGGUCCUGUUGAGCAUUGAGAAGACCGAGCUAAAAGGGAAAGUAUUAACACUGACAAAUCAGCUGUAAAG